GACGAACGCUGGCGGCGCGCCUAACACAUGCAAGUCGAACGGAGCUUAGAGAGCUUGCUUUUGAACUUAGUGGCGGACGGGUGAGUAACGCGUGAGCAACCUGCCUUUCAGAGGGGGAUAACAUUUGGAAACAAAUGCUAAUACCGCAUAAGAUUACAGUACCGCAUGAUACAGUGAUCAAAGGAGCAAUCCGCUGAAAGAUGGGCUCGCGUCCGAUUAGAUAGUUGGUGAGGUAACGGCUCACCAAGUCGACGAUCGGUAGCCGGACUGAGAGGUUGAACGGCCACAUUGGGACUGAGACACGGCCCAGACUCCUACGGGAGGCAGCAGUGGGGAAUAUUGCACAAUGGGCGAAAGCCUGAUGCAGCAACGCCGCGUGAGGGAAGACGGUUUUCGGAUUGUAAACCUCUGUUUUCGGUGACGAACAAAUGACGGUAACCGAGUAGGAAGCCACGGCUAACUACGUG
rnacentral:rRNA from 1 species